rnacentral:rRNA from 1 species
UACGUAGGGUGCGAGCGUUGUCCGGAAUUAUUGGGCGUAAAGAGCUCGUAGGCGGCUUGUCGCGUCGGAUGUGAAAGCCCGGGGCUUAACUCCGGGUCUGCAUUCGAUACGGGCAGGCGUAGAGUUCGGUAGGGGAGAUCGGAAUUCCUGGUGUAGCGGUGAAAUGCGCAGAUAUCAGGAGGAACACCGAUGGCGAAGGCAGCUCGCUGGGACGGUACUGACGCUGAGGCGCGAAAGCGUGGGGAGCAAACAGG